UUCGUUCAGAGGAGAGGAGGCCUACUAUAAAUAUGAGAGAGAGCCAUUUCGCCUCGCGAUCUCCGUCGGGCGCCGCUCGUUGGUCACUGGAAAGUUGGCUUCGGUGAGAAGGGGUUUAUACUCUUAGCUCCCUGUAUUGUGGUGUACGAUGGCAUUGACAGCACUUACAACUGUGUCUAUUGGAUCAGUUUGUGCUCAACCUAGGUUGGGAGCAAGACCCAAGGCCUCUGGCUUUGGUUUUACUUGCUCAAAGUCCUUCAAUGUUUUCAGUGGCCUGAAGGCAGCAUCCUCAGUUGGCAUCGAAGCAGAUACAUCCUUUUUGGGCAAGGAGGACAAUGCUUCUCUCCAGGCAUCUUUUGUUCCAAAGAUUAAACCAAAACAAGUUUUUCUAAAUCAACUCCACCCCCAUGCAUCCUCGUUUAAGGUGGCUGUCCUUGGGGCUGCUGGUGGGAUUGGCCAACCUCUAGGACUUCUGAUUAAGAUGUCUCCUCUGGUCUCAGCAUUGCAUCUUUAUGAUAUUGCGAAUGUUAAAGGAGUAGCUGCAGAUCUCAGCCAUUGCAAUAGCCCUGCUCAAGUUUUGGAUUUCACUGGACAAUCAGAAUUAGCCAAAUGUCUGAAAGGAGUUGAUGUUGUUGUCAUUCCCGCAGGAGUGCCAAGGAAGCCAGGCAUGACACGGGAUGAUUUAUUCAACAUCAAUGCUGGCAUUGUAAAGACGCUGAUUGAGGCUGUUGCAGACAAUUGUCCUGAUGCCUUCAUCCACAUCAUCAGCAACCCAGUAAACUCCACUGUUCCCAUAGCUGCAGAGGUACUCAAGCAAAAGGGAGUCUAUGAUCCUAAGAAGCUUUUUGGUGUGACCACCCUUGAUGUUGUUAGAGCUAACACUUUUGUUGCUCAAAAGAAGAACCUAAAGCUUGUCGAUGUGGAUGUACCAGUUAUAGGGGGUCAUGCUGGCAUUACUAUUUUACCAUUGUUGUCGAAGACAAGACCAUCAACAACAUUUGCCGAUGAUGAGGUUGAAGAGCUGACUCUAAGAAUACAGAAUGCUGGCACAGAGGUUGUCGAGGCAAAAGCCGGUGCUGGAUCCGCAACCCUGUCCAUGGCCUAUGCAGCAGCACGGUUUGUUGAAGCGUCACUUCAUGCUCUUGACAGUGACGGGGAUGUUUAUGAGUGCUCCUUUGUAGAGUCUGAUCUAACUGAGCUGCCUUUCUUUGCAUCAAGAGUCAAGAUCGGAAAGAAAGGUAUAGAAGCCAUUGUAUCUUCUGAUCUCCAGGGUCUGACAGAGUAUGAGACCAAUGCACUGGAAGCAUUAAAGCCGGAGUUGCAGGCUAGCAUUGAGAAGGGCAUGGCAUUUGUUCACAAGCAGGCAGUAAAUGCUGAAUCUGCUUAAGUUUUGAUAUUGUAUCUUUUUUUUUUCUUUAUCAGUAGUCUUGCAAGAACAGAAUAAAAACAGGGAUGGUCAAGGCAGUCCAGUUUGAUGCUAAAGCAGGUUUCCAUGUUCUAAGCUCGAGAAGUUAUGCCCUUGAGGAGAUUCGAGAGAAGUUAAGCUGUUUUCAGCGAUAUUAGAGGGAAGAGAGAACUGAGCAAUGACCAAGGAAGGACGGUUCUUUCGGCAACUGCAUUGGCCUUUGAGCAGCAACUUGGAGGGAGGAACCCCUAUAGAGUUCCAAGGAGGCCGAUCCCUUAAAGAGAUCAACCCCAAGUUUAGAAUCUGUAAGGGUUCAAUCACCUGGUAUCAGAGCAGCGUUCUUGGCGUCUCGCUGCCCUUCCACAGUCAUCCAUCAACCCUCUACAACCAUCCAAAGCAAUUCCCACAAUUGCUUAAAAGAUUGUCACCGAAUUUCGCCAUCAUCUCCACCACCGCGGAUCAUCCUUUGAUCUCCCCGUUAAUUGCAACAGGUUCUGGUUUCCUACCUUACUGCUGCUGCAAUUUAGUUAUCCUUAUUCGAAAAUAAAAAAAAAAUCGUUCUUAUAUUGCUGCAUAAACU